rnacentral:rRNA from 1 species
GGUCCAGGUUAGACGCGUGGUACGGAAGUGCUUUACACACUGCGAAGUCGGACGCGGCGAGCGGCGGGGGCCAACCGUGGCGGCGAGCGGCGAACGGGUGGAGUAAUACGAUCGGAACGUGCCCAGACGUGGGGGAGUAACUACUCAAAGGAGUGGCUAAUACCGCAUACGAUCUAAGGAUGAAAGCGGGGGAGUCGCAAGACCUCGCGCGUUUGGAGCGGCCGAUGGCAGAUUAGGUAGUUGGUGGGGUAAAGGCUUACCAAGCCCGCGAUCUGUAGCUGGUCGUGAGAGGAUGAUCAGCCACACUGGGACGUGAGACACGGCCCAGACUCCUACGGGAGGGCAGCAGUGGGGAAUUUUGGACAAUGGGCGAAAGCCUGAUCCAGCCAUUCCGCGUGCAGGAUGAAGGCCCUCGGGGUUGUAAACUGCUUUUGUACAGAACGAAAAAGCUCUUUCUAAUACAGAGAGUCCAUGACGGUACUGUAAGAAUAAGCACCGGCUAACUACGUG